rnacentral:tRNA from 1 species
GCCGUUGUAGCUCAGUUGGUAGAGCGACGCACUCGUAAUGCGUAGGUCAUCGGUUCGACUCCGAUCAACGGCUCCA